rnacentral:rRNA from 1 species
UACGUAGGGGGCUAGCGUUGUCCGGAAUCAUUGGGCGUAAAGGGCGCGUAGGCGGCCACCGCAAGUCGAUUGUGAAAUCUCCGGGCUUAACCCGGAAAGGUCAACCGAUACUGCGGGGCUAGAGUGCGGAAGGGGCAACUGGAAUUCUCGGUGUAGCGGUGAAAUGCGUAGAUAUCGAGAGGAACACCUGCGGCGAAGGCGGGUUGCUGGGCUGACACUGACGCUGAAGUGCGAAAGCUAGGGGAGCGAACGGG